GAGUAACGCGUGGGUAACCUGCCUUACACGUGGGGAUAACAGUUAGAAAUGACUGCUAAUACCGCAUAAGCGCACGAGGGCCGCAUGGUCUGGUGUGAAAAACUCCGGUGGUGUAAGAUGGACCCGCGUCUGAUUAGGUAGUUGGUGGGGUAACGGCCCACCAAGCCGACGAUCAGUAGCCGACCUGAGAGGGUGACCGGCCACAUUGGGACUGAGACACGGCCCAA
rnacentral:rRNA from 1 species